UGUGUGUGUGUGUGUGUGUGUGUGUGUGUGUGUGUGUGUGUGUGUGUGUGUGUGUGUGUGUGUGUGUGUGUGUGUGUGUGUGUGUGUAUGUGACAGAAGGUGAGUGUUUCAGUUGCGUUGCAGUGUCAGACAAUCUGCUGGCCUCUCCUGCUCUAUACCACCAGCUCAGCCUCUUUCCAGCAACAACAGUUUGAUGCUUUACCAGCAAAGAGUGAAGUCAUCCCUCUCUCUCUGCACACACACACACACACACACACACGCAUAAACACACACAAACACACACUAUCGCACACACACCGUCUGAGCUCAGCUUAAAGGGAUAGAGGUGUGGUUGCCGUGGAGACGUAGAGCUGAUUGCAUUUCUGUUGGCAUCAUUAUGUGUGAUACUUCCUGUCUGUUAUUUUGAAUAUCUUUUUUUGUUUUUCUAUUAAAAAUCAAAAAGCACUCAA